ACGCCGCAGAUCACAGCCCGGAAAGUACACCCAUAAGUGAACCAUAAAGAACAUUCAAAACGUGUUGAAGACUUAUUGUAUUUGGGAGAUGGGUCCAGUCGCAACGCUGUUAUUUAAUGUGGCUUUCCUGCUCCUCCUUAGCUCUUCCAAUGCUAAUUCUGUAACCCAACCCUCCGCGUCGCUUGAUGUGUCUGUAGGUGGAAAGGUAACAAUACCGUGCAUUUAUUCCACUAGCUACUCGAAUCCAGAUCUUUACUGGUACCACCAGAAGCCAGACGGGGGGCUCCAGUUUAUCCUCUACAGAGAUAACAGCAGAAAGGAAGAAGCGGAAUUUGCUAAGGAAAGAUUUUCCGCACCGCAAGCUAGCCCGAGUUACACAUUCCCCCUGACCAUAUCGGGGGCUGUCUUCAGUGACUCGGCUCUGUAUUUCUGCACACUCAGACGCACAGUGAUCCAGGAUCAUGAAGCCUUCGAACAAGAACUACUGGGGCGAGGUGUCAGUCGAUAUGCACUGCCUUCUCAGUGUCGAAAUAAGUUUUCGUAAAAAUAAGGUUUAAAUGUAUUUCUUUAUUCUAUAUAUAUCUUGAAUGAUAAAUGUUGGUACAGGUUAUAUUACGUAUGGUUUAAGACCAUUGGAAAGUACUCACAUGGCAAUCCUGAUUGAGAGAUUUAUUUAGGUUAGUGAAGUUAGCGAGCGGUUCGCAGUUCGCUAUUCCAGCUCACUUAAU